rnacentral:lncRNA from 1 species
CCUAAAGCCACAGAAGCUGUGGAAGGCGCCAUCCUGCCUGUCACAGGAGGGGCCCUGGGCUGAGAACACCGGAGCUGACUGGGGGCUUCUUGGAAUCAAGGAUGAAGCAGAGCACAGAAGCUCCUCUUCCUGCCCAGGGAGGAGACACAGGAGGGUCACAGGGCCAGGCGCAGCACAGAGCACAGGGAAAAGCAUGAAAACAGACUAAGACAAGUGCCAACCUGUCUGGGCAAGAUGCCAGCUCUGUACAAGGUGAAGGAAAUGACAACUCGCAACACGGGGAGAAAGUAACGACCUUUGAAUCACCCCCUCAUGCUGUGCACAAAGGCCUGCUCAUUGUAUGUGAAUCUACAGAUGAUAUAAAUACA